UACGGAGGGUGCAAGCGUUGCUCGGAAUUACUGGGCGUAAAGCGUACGCAGGCUGUCCGUUAAGUCGGGUGUGAAAGCCCGGGGCUCAACCCCGGAAUUGCGCCCGAAACUGACGGGCUUGAGUGCGGGAGAGGGAAGCGGAAUUCCGUGGUGUAGAGGUGAAAUUCGUAGAUAUCAGGAGGAACACCGGUGGCGAAAGCGGCUUCCUGGCCCGACACUGACGCUCAUGUACGAAAGCGUGGGGAGCAAACAGG
rnacentral:rRNA from 1 species